GAUGAACGCUGGCGGCGUGCUUAACACAUGCAAGUCGAACGAAGCGCCUUAUUUGAUUUUCUUCGGAAUUGAAGAUUUGGUGACUGAGUGGCGGACGGGUGAGUAACGCGUGGGUAACCUGCCCUGUACAGGGGGAUAACAAUCAGAAAUGACUGCUAAUACCGCAUAAGACCACAGCACCGCAUGGUGCAGGGGUAAAAACUCCGGUGGUACAGGAUGGACCCGCGUCUGAUUAGCUGGUUGGUGAGGUAACGGCUCACCAAGGCGACGAUCAGUAGCCGGCUUGAGAGAGUGAACGGCCACAUUGGGACUGAGACACGGCCCAAACUCCUACGGGAGGCAGCAGUGGGGAAUAUUGCACAAUGGGGGGAACCCUGAUGCAGCGACGCCGCGUGAGUGAAGAAGUAUCUCGGUAUGUAAAGCUCUAUCAGCAGGGAAGAAAAUGACGGUACCUGACUAAGAAGCCCCGGCU
rnacentral:rRNA from 1 species